rnacentral:misc_RNA from 1 species
CUGAAACAAGAUGUUAUUAGAAUACAAAUUGAAAUGUGCCAGAGUUAGAGAACAAAAAGACAAGCAACCAGACCAGGAAAUAAACGCGAACAACAAUAGGAUUGAUUACUAACUUUAUCCAUUUUUAUAUGUGAUAUCAGGCCCAUGAGCAUCAAUGCUCUAAACUAAGAGGGUAGAAGCAAUCCUUGAACAUUAUUCAACAUUUUGUUAAUAUAAUGUUGAAUAUUUUCAUCACAUUUGAGAAACAUAAUUCUUUUCAUAAAUGGGUAGCCAUUUUUCAGCUCAACAGAACACAGGACACAGUUAGACUCGUGGCCUAGAUAAUUGACAGCACCCAAAUCUUUACAGAAACGGAUGUAAG